GUGCACGCUCCCUGAAGUAAUUCACACCAGACACAGGUUCUAGGUUGUUGAAUAACUUGAGGAAAGUUUAUUCAGAGGGGACGGCAAGUCCCUUUUAAAGCAAAAUUACAUCAUAAGCAUUGUCAGAGAUAACAUGGAAUAAUACAUCAAUUAUUGGUUAGGUGUUAAGUGGUUGCUCUAAUGUUCUGCCUACUGUAGGUGAUGUCACCGGGACCAUGAGGGUCUCCCACGGUUUCCCGGCGCCAUCUUGGUGCAUGAGGUAGUUAGUCGAUGUUAGGAAGGAGAAAGGGAAGGGGGGGGGGGAAAAGAGCAAGAAGCUUCUAGCAGCCAUCUUAAUUAUAACGUGUGUGCUUGACUAUAUAUAUAUAUAUCGUGAAAUGAGUAAAUAGACAUUUUUCACUAACUAGGAAAUAUGUGUAGACCUUAUUUCCACAACAGUCCCCCCUGAAAUGGCUAUUUACCAUAACAACUGCUACUGUCCCUAAUAUGUCCCUAGUUGCCUGCAACCUAUCUGUCUUAACUAGCAUCGAACACUUCACUCCGCGGGUAACCCGCAGUGGCUAGUCCACUACAUCUCCACACGUGAGACUCGCCAGUUAAGACAGAUGCUUUCCCUAUACUGUCCCUACAGGAAAGCAGUUGUCUGUUUGAACUGAUGUGAUUGAAGGGGUGUAUGUGGGGUAUCAUCUUCGAGGUCUGUGAUGUCUUGGUGUAUGAAAGUAGGGGUCACGUCAUCUAUAGUCUUGUCCACCGCUUUCUGUAGAUACCUCUGUAUGCAGGGGAAUAUGCAACAGGUCAGAAAUAAGAAAAUAACGAUCAUUAUGAGAACAGCUGUCCCCACCUGGAAGAGGGUCCUUUGCCAACCAUUCAUCCAUCCAAACCAUCUGUCCCAAGUGUCGAUGACUCCUGAAUUUUUCUUUAACUCGUCUGCAAGACUAUCUAACUUCUCUAUGGCCAUAGUCACCUUACCAUUGGGCCCAGUGUUGUCUGGAAUGUAUGUGCAGCAUGUUAUGGUCUCAGGGAGGAUUUUACAUACACCCCCUUUCUCAGCUAAAAUCAUAUCUAGGGCCAUUCUGUUCUGAAAUGUCAUUUGGGUAGUGGCUUGUAGUUGCUCUGCCAGGCCCUGUAGGGCAUCCCUAGUGUAAUUGACAAAACGCUGUUGAUUAUAGUAAAUAUAGUUAAUCCAAUUGACAUUUUUGUUAACAGUUAUCAUUGGAAUUAGGGACUCAAAUCCCGCAGCCACUUCAUCUCUUGCUUUGAAUUCGUUAGGCACCCCCCUUGGCACACCUAUGGCAUCAAUAUACACAUGGGGUCGAAACUCCCUCGAAUAGGAGUCUCUCGUUUGAUUCUAGAGUGUGCAUGUGUGAGGUUUAACGUGUUAUGAUCACCAUCUGGAAUGAUAUGGAUAGGCAUUAUGACUUUGGUUAGGGCACACUCCCCCCACCAUUGCCCAAUUAAUUGGGACCUCAAUUGUUUAUCCCCACAUAACCAAUAGAUAUCGCCGAUUGUCUUUGUGUGGUUCAUUAACAGUGAUACAGGUGGAUUAUGGUAAGUUGAGCAAUAUCCUGAUGGGAAUUUGCCCAGAUACAACCCGGUGUUCUUAGAUAUUGUAUAACAUGUGUAAUUACCUGUGUAGAUGGUGACUCCAUCAGGUGGUUUUACAUGUCCGUGAGUGAUCGGGUAAAUUCUCUUCCAUGAUUCACAUGUCGAGGAAUUGGUGACGGACUGUGUGUAAAGGCUCAGAACACAUGAUUCUACUUCAGGAGGUAAAUUCAGAGGAACUGUGCCCAGAUGGGGCCUGGCUCCCCCACACACGUAACAAUUGGUCUUAUUGUGUGAGUUGGCAUUAUACCUCAUCCAUUCUAGCCAUAAAUUAGUGUCUGAAAAACCAGUUUCCACUGCCAUAGUGUCUUCAAAGGUGGGGUUGGCUAUAGCUACCAUGUCAUGUAGGGUCUUAAUAUGUGGUUUUAACGGGUUAACGAUCAUGUGAGUGGUCCCCACCCAGUCUGGGGAGGUGAGCAUGUCUUGUAGGUAGAAUGUCCCCAGUGCAUUGUGUGAGCCACCUCCCUUCCAGUACAUCCCCAUCACAUAUUCCCCCGCGUCCCUUGGACUAGGGUGUUCUAUGUUCAAGGUAAGUUUAAUGGGAGUUGACCCUGUGGGUUUACUAAGAGUCAUUCUAGAAAGUAGGGGCUUCCCGUCUUUGUCAAGUCUGUCUAGUGCAACCUGAGGUCUGUAGCCCCAUGGUCUACCUGUAUUCCACCCGGCAGCUUUCCAUGAACUACAGUGGUGUCCCCAAGCUCCUCCAGUCACACAAAUGUAUGGGUCCUUUUUGUUAGGUAUGUCCUUGUAUAUGGCUGCAUGUUGUGUCUGUGGGAAUGUACAGGUAACUAUGUCACAGUAAUCAAAGGUGUAUGUAGCUACAUCAGUAUCAGAAGAAUUGUACCAGAAAGUGUAAACAUGAUUAUCUUUGGUUAUGGCCACUUGUUGGGCCCAGGCAAAAUGCAACAAUAUAAGAAAACACAAGACACAUAAUAAAUUCAUGUUUCAACAAGAUCAGCUUCUCCUGGAGCAGGCACUUUUUUGCAAUGUGAAGCGUGUAUCCAGGAACUUUUUCCAGCUAGUUUAACUGACGUUGCUGUAAUCAGGAGCACUUGAUAAGGACCAUCAAAUCUUGGUUCUAGGGUGUGUUUCCUGAGGAACUUCUUAACCAUAACCCAAUCACCUGGAAGCAGCUUGUGUGUACCUGUAUUCGACUCAGGAUCUGGAAUAGAAGAAAACACUUGGGCAUGUAUCUUGGUCAAGGCAUGUGAAAGGGCAGUCACAUAGUCUACCAUAGCGUCUGACUGAAUCUGAAGCUGUUGGGGAAAGUAGCAACCUAACCUGGGUGCUGUACCAAACAAAAUCUCAUAAGGUGACAAACUGUGUUUUCCUCUGGGAGUGUACCUUACACUGAAUAACGCUAGUGGAAGACUCUCGGGCCAGGGCAUGUUAGUUUCUUGUGACAUUUUAAGCAUUCUGGCUUUCAAAGUGCCAUUCAUGCGCUCUACCUUACCACUACUCUGUGGGUGAUAUGGUGUGUGGAAUGCAAGGGUCACCCCCAGUGCUGACCAGACUUCCCGUGUUAGCGAGGCAGUGAAGGAGGUCCCUUGGUCACUUUCAAUUACUUCUGGAACCCCAUAGCGGCAAACAAUUUCUGUCAAGAGAUAUUUGGCUGUAGUCCUCGCGGUGAGAUUAGUCACUGGGAAGGCCUCUGGCCAUCCUGAAAACAUGUCCACCAUGACCAAUGCAUAUUCAUAACGUCCACUCUUUGGCAUCUGAAUGUGAUCAAUCUGGAUCCUCUGGAAGGGAUAUUGCGGCUUGGCUAGGUGAUUAGGUGCAGUCUUUAUAAUCUUUCCAGGAUUGCAUUUAGCACAUAUAGUACAUGACUUACAGUAAUUCUGUGUUAAGGUGGUGAUGCCUGGUGCUUCGAAAUAUUUGUCAAUCAGUGAAUUCAUCAGGAGUUUUGACAGAUGAGCUGGCCCAUGGGCCCAUUGGACCACCGCUGGGUACAUACUUCUAGGUAGGCAGAACUUGAGAUUAAUGGUGUAAACAUCAUCACGGAGUAUAGCUCCUUUGUUCUUCCAACCUUGUUUCUCUUGGGGAGUAGCAGCAGCUUGCUGUUCCUUCAGAAGCCUGAGGUCUGUAGGCAAUGUUUGCAUAGUAUAGAUAGGCAGUGUAUCUGUGGCCACUCUUCUGUCCACUUCCCAUCUUUGCCGUGCUGCUUCUUUAGCUGCUUGAUCAGCCAGGUGAUUGCCACGUGCUUCUUCUGUGUCUAGUCUUCCAUGGGCUUUUACCUUCAGUACUGCCACCUCAGCUGGAAGUUCCAAUGCGUCCAUCAGCUCUGCAAUGGCUGCCCCAUGUUUUACUGGGGUACCAGUGGCCGUAAGAAAUCCUCUGGUCUUCCAAAUUAAGCCAAAAUCAUGUGCUACUCCCAAGGCAUAUCUUGAAUCCGUGUAAAUGUUGACACGCAACCCUUCAGACAAUUUGCAAGCCACAGUUAGGGCUGUCAAUUCAGCUUCUUGAGCAGACUUAUUUGGUUGUAGGGCAGCUGCUUGUAACACUUGACAUUCUGUGGUAACUGCAUACCCAGUGUGAUAUUGCCCUUGUUCAUCAGCAAAUCUUGACCCAUCCACAAAUAAUGUUUGGUCCGGGUUGAGUAGUGCAGCUUCAUAGACAGUCGGUAGAUGUGUAGUUUCCAUUUUCAUUUGUUCAAAGCAAUCAUGAGGGAUAUCGAGGUCACAGUCUGUGGUGAGUGGAUCCUCACAGGCUUCUGUAUGGUACCUGGGGUACCCAGUUGUACAGUAAUUAAUAGUCUUUUUGUUGAUUCUCGUAGAAGUCAGUUGUUCUGGGGUCAUUUGACUCCAGGUUUUGGCCAUCGGGCCUAGGUCUUUCCACGAGAUGUCGGGGGGUCUGGUGAGAGAUAUGUGUGGGAUCGAUGUUUCCCAAUGGUGAUAGAGAUGUGUCACACUCUCUGGGAGGUGGACCAAGAUAAGCAUGGUACCUGUGAGGUCCCAAAACAAGUCAGUUAGGGUAAUUUGGAUUUCUUUGAGUUGGAAUACUUCUGCCUCGUAAUUCAUAUCAGGGCCUGGUUCAUCCCUAAUCCACAAAGUGCAAUGAAGUAGGGCCAUUGAUUGUUCAUCAUGUGGAGGUGCAAGUGCAGGUAGUUGCAGAUUUGUUAGAACUUCCGGGUUGAUAUCCAGGCUGUACCAGUGGUACACAAUUCCCCCCUUGGGAAGUGGCAGAAGAGUGGCCGGGUUCAGGGUUAGGCAUCUCUGAAGUUUUAUGUUAUCAGGUAAAAGCAAUGAGGUUUGCAGGCGGAGGUGGCGUUGGGAGGAAAGGUGCUUGGGUUGAACUUGUUGCAGGAUAGCAGUAAUGUCAUGGGGGGCCAACACGGUAAGGUGAUGGCCAAGCACAAAGUCAUUAGUCUUGUCCAGGAGGGCACUGGCGGCAAAUACAGCACGGAGGCAAGAGGGGCUGCCCCUUGCAACAGGGUCAAACAUACAGGAAAAAUAGCCAAUGGGCCGUUGUCUGGACCCAUGUUUCUGGGUAAGGACUCCGGAAGCAUGUCCUGAUUUUUCAGAGACAAACAAAUUGAAAGAGAGUUGAUAGUUGGGUAGGCCCAAGGCAGGAGCAGAGGCAAUAGCUCUUUUCAGAGUAUGGAAACAGUCAAUAGUUUCUUCAGUGAGGUGAAAGGGCUCACUUCGAAGUGCAUCAUAGAGAGGUUGCAUGAGUUUGGAUGCUUCAGGUAUCCAAGACCUGCAGUAUGUUAUGAGACCCAAGAAAGCAUGAAGAGAGUGAUGGGUUGCAGGUAAUGGGAGUUGCAGGAUAGCUUGCACCCGUUGUGAGGUUAGAUGUUUGGUGCCAUGGGAAAGGCAAUGUCCCAAGAAGACCACAGAGGGCCGGCACCAUUGUAGCUUUGAUUUUGAGGCCUUGCACCCGGCAGCAGCGAGGAAACAUAAGAGAUCUUCUGAGUCACGUUCUGCAAUUAGCAAAUUAGGAGCACAGAGUAGAAGGUCAUCAACAUAUUGUAGUAGAACAACAUCGAGAUGUGAUUUCUGCCAGGGAUCCAGAACCAGAGACAUGGCAUGAGCAAACUGUGUUGGGGAGUUCUGCGCUCCCUGGGGCAUAACAGUCCAAGUAUAUUGUUGUCCUUCAUGUGUAAAGGCGAAGAGAAAACGGCAGGAGGGAUCAAGGGGAACACUGAAAAAAGCAUUAGCCAGAUCCACAACAGUAAAAAUUGUUGAAGUUGGAGGCACUUGUGACAAAAGGGUAUGAGGGUUUGGAACAAUAGCAGUGUCCUUUAUGGUUACCUCGUUAACAGCACGGAGGUCCUGUACCAUACGGUAUUGGUCGGGUUGGCCCUUAACAGUUCGCUUUUUAACAGGGAAGAGAGGGGUGUUGCAUGGAGAUGUACACUUGGUGAGGGCACCUUUUGCAAGCAGGGUCUCAACUUGCUUGGUGAUGGCCUCAGCUUGUGCUGGCUUCAGAGGAUACUGAGGUCUACGAGGGGGGAGUGCACCAGGCAGGAGCUGGACCAGGACUGGGGGUACAUGUAAGCGUCCAAUAUCAUCCGGGCCGGUGGACCAAAGUUCUUGGGGAAUACGAUCCAGGGCACUGGGGGUGUGUGUGACCCGUGCAUUCCCUGUAUUGUCAGUUAGAUUCAACAAAAUUGGGAGUGAGCAGAGUACAGAAGUAUCUUUCUGCGAUAAGGGGGUUGUCAACUCAACCUGUCCAUCAGCAGUAAAGGUUAAUGGAAGCCUGGAGCCGAGAGAGAACAUCGGCACCUAGGAGGUUAAUGGGGCAGGUGGAGGAAACAACAAAACGGGACAGGAUAUGUGAGCCUACAUGUAAGAGCUUGGUGAGGGGGUUACUGCGUGGUGUACCAUCCACCCCAACACAGGAGACAUCAGUGUCAGAUAGGAAGGAAGGGUCUGGCAGGUCUUGUUCCCUAAGGACACUACGGGCUGCACCUGUGUCAACUAAAAAGGUGGUUGGGUGACCCUCCACGGGGAGAACUAAUGUAGCCAAAGGUCCUCCUCCAUCCCCCGCAGACACUGCCAUGGCAGGGGUUGCUGACACAGGCUUGCCAGUUACCUAUUGUAAUAAAUCUAGGUGGGCUUGAUCCGGUCCCUGGUACCGGCGGGAGGUGGAGGGAGGGUUAGCAGUAUGCAUAGGUGGGCGGGAUGGACGGAGGGCAUGGCGGGGAUGAGGUGGGUUGUCUUGGAGGUCAUCAGUAUCAUACCCUUCAGCAGAGGGCGAGGUGUAUGCACGGGCUUCUGCUGCGGGGAGCCGGGCUUGGGAAUACUCAGGAGGCGGAGGGGGAGGAGGUGGAGGAGGUAACUGAGGCAACUGUGGAUGGGGUAGGGUAGGGAGGUAACCGGUGGAGGGGAAACUGUAACUGGUGACAUGUGGAUUUUGGUACCGGGGAGUCUGCUGGCGGAACACUCUAGGGUGUGGGCAAUCUCUUCUAAAGUGACCUGGCUGAUUACAAUUAAAGCAGGUCCGGAUUGUCGUGACAGACCGAUCACGGGAGAAAGGAAUUGGUGCAGGCAGUGUCUGGGGGGGCUGGGUGUACUGUUGGGGAAACAUCUGAGGACCCUGGCCUGGACCAGCGAAUGGGGUGGAGGUAGCAUACAUCAGAGGACUGGGUCUACGUAGUGUAGGUAGCAAAACAGAUUCUAAGCCCUUGGCAACUAGCAAAAGAGUGUCCAGUGGAAUAAUUCUAUACUCAGGCCGAGCUAAGAUUAACCCCUUACGGAUGUGUUCUCUAAGCCCUGCCACAAAGGCUGCAGAUAGCAUCUGGGUGUGUGCUUUGUUGUAAGUACUAAACCCUAAGUCUGAAAAAGUCUGAGUCAACCUAGAGUGAUACUUCUCAACUGUCUCAAGUUUGUCCUGUAUAAUGUCAUUAAUGCAAGUAGCCUGAUCUGCUAGUUUAUCCUGUGCCCAAGCUCGAAGCUGUUCACAAAAGACUUCACCAGAACGAAAGUCAGUAUCAGAAGUAAGUGGAGCGUCAUUAAAGCUCCGUUCCAUGAUUGGCCAGUAUGCAUCACCGGCUUUGAUUUCACAUAGACUAAUAAGAUCCCGCCAAGCAGCGGAGUACGUUUUACGGAUCUGAGCCAUCCGGCGGAAAAAGGGCAUAGGGUGUUUUUCAGGAUCGGGGAGUGAGGUCACAAGGGUAGCAGCUUGGGAAGGGUUAAAGGUAACAUACAUAGGCGGUGCUCCAUCCGCACCAUGGUUGAUCGGGAUGUAACCUUGAGGGGUAGUGUGCUGUUGGGGGAGCCUAUUCACCCCCAUCUGGGGCGAAUUCUGGUCAACCGCAACAACCUCUUCGGGCAACACUGGGCCACGGCGGAGGGUAGCCUCAGGGGUAGCUGUAGCGGGGACAACAGGGAGGGCUGUGGUAGGUAAGGUAACUGGGUGAAAACCCGAAGCCUGGGGGGAGGCACCCAUUGCAUAGGGCUGGUCAGAUGUCCCAGACACCUCGGAUCCAACCACCAUGAUUGGGUAACUUGGACUGGCGGAAGGGACACGAGGGACCAAAGCCGUGGAAGGGGCUGUCACAGGGGCCGGGUGGGUUGGGCGUGAAAGGUGUGUAUUUAGGACAUGUGCAAGGGCGGAGAUUGGAUCGGGGGGCUCGGGGACUUCGGCAGGAGACAAGGGUGGGGUCGGAGGUUCGGGGGGAGGAGGAGGAGGAAGAGGAGGUACGUCAAUGGGAGGUGGUACGGGGAUCGCGGAAGUAACUAGGGAAGUAACAGCAGUGAAGAGGGCGGAUAUUGAGCCGGACAGGUCAUUGGUCAUGUGUGUGUCAGGGGUCACGGGGGAAAGGGUCGGAGGGACGGGACCAAGGGCCUGUGUCAAGGUCGGGGGGGUAGGGAUGUCGGGGGGUGGUAACAAGGGAAAAGAGGCCGGGGGGAUGGCGACGGGAGGUUGGGUUAGGGUGGUGAGGGCGGAGAUCAGGGACGGCAAAUCGGCCGCGGGAGUAGGAGGCAACAAGGCAGAGGGGGCUGGGGUUUCAGGAGGAGGUAACGCUGGAGGAGGAGUGAGAGGGGUGACGGCAAUGGGUUGGGUUAGGGCGGUGAGGGCGGAGAUUAGGGACGGCAAAUCGGUCGCGGGAAUAGGAGGCAACAAGGCAGAGGGGGCUGGGGUUUCAGGAGGAGGUAACGCUGGAGGAGGAGUAAGAGGGUCCUUGAGGAUGGGAGGGGUAACUGUGGAUAGGGGGCCGGAGGUAAAGGAACCGGGACUAACGGGCUGAACAAGAUUCAUGAGAGCGGAGAGUAGGGACGGGGGAUCUUUGGAAGAUGAGGAGGAGGAGGAGAGGAGAUGAGAAGGGGUGGGGGACAAUGGAGGUGUAGGGCUGGGGGUCACGGGAUUUCCUGAGGAUACCGGGGAGGGAGAGUCGACCGGGGGACAGGGGUCCGGGGAGACAGGGUCGGUUGGGUAGAUAGGAGCGGGGGGUGUAGGACGUAGGACGGACGGAGAUGGAGAAGGAGCGGGGACUACUAGGGAAGGGGUACUCAAAGUGGAGAGGGACUGGGAGGAGGAGGGGGAUGGAACUUCCAUGGUCGAGGCGGGAAUAGUCGGGACAGUGUUCGGGGUGAGGACUGGCGCUGGGAAAGGUAACGGAGGGCAUGGAGGUGGGGGGGCUCCGAUGGACAUGGCGGGACGAUGGUUGAAAGAGGGGGUCUGGUCACAGGGGGGUUGGGGCAUGGGAGUGGGUGGGAACGAGUGAUGUGGCACUGGGAAAUAGUAAGCUCCGUCUACACCGAGUACAGGACAUAAGGGAGUGGGGGCUGUAGGCACACCCCCGGGGGGUGGGGUCUGAGCUGUGAUGGGAGAAGCAGGGCGGGAAUUUACUGUUGCGCUCUGGGCGCCAUCAUAGGGUGGUGGCCGUGGAACAAUGGAAACAACAUCAUCAUUGUGAACACUCCUAUGGUAAACAUGCACAAUUUGCCCUUCAAAUUCCAACUCUUCCUCGACCCAUCCUUCCCGUUUCAAACCUCUGGCUACACGAUACCAAGCCUCUGCAACCUUUGUCAGUUCGUUAUCCAACAAUAAACCUUCCUUAUCUAUGAGUAGCUUUCUCCAAAACUCCGGUUGCAAUCUCCCACUGGGUAACAUCUGAAAGCCACACACCUUAGCAAUCUUUUUAAGUUUCAUCAUAGCAUCUUCCCCUGCCCUUUCUUUCACAAUAUCACAAGCCAAUAAACCUUUAGCAGGUCUAGCAUGUUCCUGCCCCAUCUUGACCAAAUAAAACGUGCCACUCGUUAAUGACAGAUGGAUAGAGGAGGUAUAAGAAAGGAGGGGAGAAGGAGUGUCUACAGUGCUCAACUGCCACGAGAACUUGAGCCCCGUGCGUCUUCCCCAAACGUAGACUAGUCACGGAGAUCCGCCCACCCGGGGUGGUGGUCACGGACGGGAGCGAAUGAGCGUGGGUGACUAACACAGCUCUGGGCAACAGGCACAGGAGAGAUAAAGCACAAAAGAAAAGAUGAAUGUGGCUGCGCUAAUGAGAAGACAUUUGCAAAAAUCACAAACAUAUAAAUGAGCAUAGACUCCGGAGUCCAGAACUAACCACACAAUACACACGCACACACCAAGGGUACCCACGCUGUAACAACAAUUAAACAAGAACCACAGGAUGACAGAGAGUAAAAUGGCCAUGUACAUGUUAAUGACACCAGUGCUGAAUAAACGAAGUAUAGCAAUCCUCAGCCUUCACCCACCAGGCUGGUCCCAGUAUAACACAAGUAUUAAUGAGAGCACAGUAAUAAACAAACAAAAUCCCAGCCCCACCGGCUGUAAUGCGUUCCCUGCCCGCUAGGCAGUCAAGCUAACUUAAAAUCCCAGCCCCUCCGGCUGCAAAAUCCCAGCCCCACCGGCUGUAAUGCGUUCCCUGCCCGCUAGGCAGUCAAGCUAACUUAAAAUCCCAGCCCCACCGGCUGUAAAAUCCCAGCCCCACCGGCUGUAAUGCGUUCCCUGCCCGCUAGGCAGUCAAGUCCCAAGCUGUAAAAUCCCAGCCCCACCGGCUGUAAAAUCCCAGCCCCACCGGCUGUAAAAUCCCAGCCCCACCGGCUGUAAUGCGUCCCCUGCCCGCUAGGCAGUCAAGCUAUUGUCUUUUAAAAAGGGGGAAAACACACACUCCGGCCGUCACACACAUUCAAACAAAUACAGGAGGCAGAUAGACAAUCGACAGGUUCACCUUAAAAGGCACACCGGAUGAGUUAAUUACCUGUCUCUAGUAGCCUUCUGGAAGCCGGAAGUGGACAGACCGACACAAAACAGGAGAAUAACACAGGCAACGGCUGUAUUAUGGAGGUGAUCAGGCUCCGCUUGUCCCACUUUCCGGAGGUCCGCUCCGGUCCGUUGGUUCCGGCCCUCCGAACCGGCCCUCCGGUGGCCCCACGUUGGGCGCCAAUUGAAAUGGAAAAAUCAAUUAAAAGUAUUGAUUAUUUCUUUGUGUAUCUGCCCCUGGCCAAAUCAAUGAAACAAUGCGUGCACGCUCCCUGAAGUAAUUCACAUCAGACACAGGUUCCAGGUUGUUGAAUAACUUGAGGAAUGUUUAUUCAGAGGGGACGGCAAGUCCCUUUUAAAGCAAAAUUACAUCAUAAGCAUUGUCAGAGAUAACAUGGAAUAAUACAUCAAUUAUUGGUUAGGUGUUAAGUGGUUGCUCUAAUGUUCUGCCUACUGUAGGUGAUGUCACCGGGACCAUGAGGGUCUCCCACGGUUUCCCGGCGCCAUCUUGGUGCACGAGGUAGUUAGUCGAUGUUAGGAAGGAGAAAGGGAAGGGGGGGGGGGGAAAGGAGCAAGAAGCUUCUAGCAGCCAUCUUAAUUAUAACGUGUGUGCUUGACUAUAUAUAUAUAUAUCGUGAAAUGAGUAAAUAGACAUUUUUCACUAACUAGGAAAUAUGUGUAG